rnacentral:rRNA from 1 species
GCAGAGCAUCCUACGGGAGGCAGCAGUGGGGAAUAUUGCACAAUGGGCGCAAGCCUGAUGCAGCCAUGCCGCGUGUAUGAAGAAGGCCUUCGGGUUGUAAAGUACUUUCAGCAGUGAGGAAGGUGGAUAUGUUAAUAGCAUAUUCAUUUGACGUUAGCUGCAGAAGAAGCACCGGCUAACUCCGUGCCAGCAGCCGCGGUAAUACGGAGGGUGCGAGCGUUAAUCGGAAUUACUGGGCGUAAAGCGCAUGCAGGUGGUUGUUAAGUCAGAUGUGAAAAGCCCGGGGCUCAACCUCGGAAUUGCAUUUGAAACUGGCAAACUAGAGUACUGUAGAGGGGGUAGAAUUUCAGGUGUAGCGGUGAAAUGCGUAGAGAUCUGAAGGAAUACCGGUGGCGAAGGCGGCCCCCUGGACAGAUACUGACACUCAGAUGCGAAAGCGUGGGGAGCAAACAGGAUUAGAUACCCUGGUAG